rnacentral:rRNA from 1 species
UUGAAGAGUUUGAUCAUGGCUCAGAUUGAACGCUGGCGGCAGGCCUAACACAUGCAAGUCGAACGGUAACAGGAAGCAGCUUGCUGCUUCGCUGACGAGUGGCGGACGGGUGAGUAAUGUCUGGGAAACUGCCUGAUGGAGGGGGAUAACUACUGGAAACGGUAGCUAAUACCGCAUAACGUCGCAAGACCAAAGAGGGGGACCUUCGGGCCUCUUGCCAUCAGAUGUGCCCAGAUGGGAUUAGCUUGUUGGUGGGGUAACGGCUCACCAAGGCGACGAUCCCUAGCUGGUCUGAGAGGAUGACCAGCCACACUGGAACUGAGACACGGUCCAGACUCCUACGGGAGGCAGCAGUGGGGAAUAUUGCACAAUGGGCGCAAGCCUGAUGCAGCCAUGCCGCGUGUAUGAAGAAGGCCUUCGGGUUGUAAAGUACUUUCAGCGGGGAGGAAGGUGUUGUGGUUAAUAACCGCAGCAAUUGACGUUACCCGCAGAAGAAGCACCGGCUAACUCCGUGCCAGCAGCCGCGGUAAUACGGAGGGUGCAAGCGUUAAUCGGAAUUACUGGGCGUAAAGCGCACGCAGGCGGUCUGUUAAGUCAGAUGUGAAAUCCCCGGGCUCAACCUGGGAACUGCAUCUGAUACUGGCAGGCUUGAGUCUCGUAGAGGGGGUAGAAUUCCAGGUGUAGCGGUGAAAUGCGUAGAGAUCUGGAGGAAUACCGGUGGCGAAGGCGGCCCCCUGGACGAAGACUGACGCUCAGGUGCGAAAGCGUGGGGAGCAAACAGGAUUAGAUACCCUGGUAGUCCACGCCGUAAACGAUGUCGACUUGGAGGUUGUGCCCUUGAGGCGUGGCUUCCGGAGCUAACGCGUUAAGUCGACCGCCUGGGGAGUACGGCCGCAAGGUUAAAACUCAAAUGAAUUGACGGGGGCCCGCACAAGCGGUGGAGCAUGUGGUUUAAUUCGAUGCAACGCGAAGAACCUUACCUGGUCUUGACAUCCACGGAAGUUUUCAGAGAUGAGAAUGUGCCUUCGGGAACCGUGAGACAGGUGCUGCAUGGCUGUCGUCAGCUCGUGUUGUGAAAUGUUGGGUUAAGUCCCGCAACGAGCGCAACCCUUAUCCUUUGUUGCCAGCGGUUAGGCCGGGAACUCAAAGGAGACUGCCAGUGAUAAACUGGAGGAAGGUGGGGAUGACGUCAAGUCAUCAUGGCCCUUACGACCAGGGCUACACACGUGCUACAAUGGCAUAUACAAAGAGAAGCGACCUCGCAAGAGCAAGCGGACCUCAUAAAGUAUGUCGUAGUCCGGAUUGGAGUCUGCAACUCGACUCCAUGAAGUCGGAAUCGCUAGUAAUCGUGGAUCAGAAUGCCACGGUGAAUACGUUCCCGGGCCUUGUACACACCGCCCGUCACACCAUGGGAGUGGGUUGCAAAAGAAGUAGGUAGCUUAACCUUCGGGAGGGCGCUUACCACUUUGUGAUUCAUGACUGGGGUGAAGUCGUAACAAGGUAACCGUAGGGGAACCUGCGGUUGGAUCACCUCCUU